AUUGGGUGGUAUUCGGUCAUUUUCAGCAGAUUUUUUGGCAUCAAGCUAACGCCGGAAAUACCCAUAUCGGGAAGUAUUUAGUUAUUUUGGUUGUUUUACAGAAAAUAAAAGUGGUCGUCUUCAAAUUCAAAAUGGUGUCCAAGGUCAAAGUUUGGUUUCUAUGCAUCAUCUCGAUUACGGAAAUAUCCAUAUUGAGCAUUAUUCGGUCAUUUUCUACUGUUUCCUAGAAGUUGCAAUUUAGCAAUUUAAAAUGGUGCCUGAGGUCAAUUGCUGUUUUCCCCCAUCGAUUUGAUGAUAUGUCCCCUGACAAUUGGAGAGAUUUGGCUGUAGAGAAAGUCCGUUUCCAUCUGAAGCUGCAAGAGAUUUACGACCAAGACGAAUCCGAUUCCACUGAUUGGGAGACCGACUCAGACUAGUAAUUUUCUUGUUUUCACUUGUGGACCAGCUUUCCUAACCAACACACAGUCAAUUUCCGAUUGCCCUUUACACUGUUUCUGCAUACGAAGUGGAUGAACUGUGUUUCGUUCAACAACUUUUCGAAAAAUUUUCAUACACCUAAUCUGUGAAAAUCAACAUUCGAAAUAAUAAUUAUGUUUUUUCAACUAAUUAUGACGAACGAUUGCAGAUUUAAUUCCAGAGAAGCAAGAGGAUUUAGUUGAAAUUAUGACUAGUUCGGAUAAAUCCAAAAUAUAUAUUCAAAUAAAUUCAAGAUUUAUUGAGUAACCAUUAUCAA